rnacentral:rRNA from 1 species
ACUCGAGUGGCGAACGGGUGAGUAACACGUGGGUGAUCUGCCUUGCACUUCGGGAUAAGCCUGGGAAACUGGGUCUAAUACCGGAUGGGACCAUGCUUUAGUGUGUGUGGUGGAAAGUUUUUCGGUGCAAGAUGAGCCCGCGGCCUAUCAGCUUGUUGGUGGGGUAAUGGCCUACCAAGGCGACGACGGGUAGCCGGCCUGAGAGGGUGUACGGCCACAUUGGGACUGAGACACGGCCCAG